GAUGAACGCUGGCGGUGUGCCUAAUACAUGCAAGUCGAGCGAACAGAUGAGGAGCUUGCUCCUCUGACGUUAGCGGCGGACGGGUGAGUAACACGUGGAUAACCUACCUAUAAGACUGGGAUAACUUCGGGAAACCGGAGCUAAUACCGGAUAAUAUAUUGAACCGCAUGGUUCAAUAGUGAAAGACGGUUUUGCUGUCACUUAUAGAUGGAUCCGCGCCGCAUUAGCUAGUUGGUAAGGUAACGGCUUACCAAGGCAACGAUGCGUAGCCGACCUGAGAGGGUGAUCGGCCACACUGGAACUGAGACACGGUCUAGACUCCUACGGGAGGCAGCAGUAGGGAAUCUUCCGCAAAGGGCGAAAGCCUGACGGAGCAACGCCGCGUGAGUGAUGAAGGUCUUCGGAUCGUAAAACUCUGUUAUUAGGGAAGAACAAAUGUGUAAGUAACUAUGCACGUCUUGACGGUACCUAAUCAGAAAGCCACGGCUAACUACGUG
rnacentral:rRNA from 1 species